UACGUAGGUGGCAAGCGUUGUCCGGAAUUAUUGGGCCUAAAGCAUCCGUAGCCGGCCUUACAAGUCCUCCGUUAAAUCCAGCUGCUUAACAGAUGGGCUGCGGAGGAUACUAUAAGACUAGGAGGCAGGAGAGGCAAGCGGUACUCAGUGGGUAGGGGUAAAAUCCGUUGAUCCAUUGAAGACCACCAGUGGCGAAGGCGGCUUGCCAGAAUGCGCUCGACGGUGAGGGAUGAAAGCUGGGGGAGCAAACCGG
rnacentral:rRNA from 1 species